CCAUGUCGCGUGAAGGAAGACUGCCCUAUGGGUUGUAACUUCUUUUGUAUGGGAAGAAAUGUAUCUACGUGUAGAUAUUUGCCGGUACCAUACGAAUAAGCAUCGGCUAACUCCGUGCCAGCAGCCGCGGUAAUACGGAGGAUGCAAGCGUUAUCCGGAUUCAUUGGGUUUAAAGGGUGCGUAGGCGGAUUAAUAAGUCAGGGGUGAAAGUUUGCGGCUCAACCGUAAAAUUGCCUUUGAUACUGUUAAUCUUGAGUACAUUUGAGGUAGGCGGAAUGUGUUGUGUAGCGGUGAAAUGCUUAGAUAUAACACAGAACACCGAUUGCGAAGGCAGCUUACUAAACUGUAACUGACGCUGAGGCACGAAAGCGUGGGUAUCGAACAGGAUUAGAUACCCUGGUAGCCACGCCGUAACGAUGAUUACUAGUUGUUUG
rnacentral:rRNA from 1 species